rnacentral:rRNA from 1 species
GACGAACCGUGCAAACGUUGUUCGGAAUCACUGGGCUUAAAGGGUGUGUAGGCGGGUCUCCCAGUCUGUGGUGAAAUCCUCCAGCUUAACUAGAGAAGUGCCGUGGAUACUGGAGACCUCGAGGAGGGUAGGGGCAUCUGGAACGGUCGGUGGAGCGGUGAAAUGCGUUGAUAUCGACCGGAACUCCGGUGGCGAAGGCGAGGUGCUGGACCCUUUCUGACGCUGAAACACGAAAGCCAGGGGAGCAAACGGG